UCCAGGCUCGUAUGCAGAGGUGUGAUCCGUG
rnacentral:piRNA from 1 species